UUCAGACGAUUUCUACCCCUCAAUUUGGGUUUUGCGAAAUUAAUAGGUGUGUGCUAUGUGAUUUUGUAAGCAGAAUCGGGAUGGCGGUACAGAUCACCAAAGCUAUGAAGCCCCGCUUCGCUCUUCCAGGUUAUAAGUGGCGUAUGACUAUAGCAUAUGAUGGCACAAAAUUCUCAGGCUGGCAAUAUCAGCAGUCGUUACCAACCGUACAAUGCCUUGCGGAAAGAGCUCUAACUCAGACAACAAAGCUAGAAAGGAAGGAGCUAGGAUUGGUUGGUGCUAGUAGGACAGACACUGGAGUUCAUGCCUGGGGUCAGGUCUUUCUCAUCCUUCUGAAGACUUUUUUUUUUUUGGUAAAAUCCUUCUGAAGACUGGAACAAGCGUCUCUCAAUAACAAACAUAUACAACUCAACUCAGCCUUAUCCCUACUAAAUGGGAUUGGCUAGAUGGAUCCUUUUUCUCCAAUCAGCUCUAUUUAGCCAUACUUGUUUCUAGUCCUAAGCCAUGGAUGUAAUGAGCCAACAUAUGAUUUAUUAAGAUUUCAGGUGGCACACUUUGUUACUCCUUUCUACUAUAACAGUUUAGAGAGCAUUCAUGGAGCGCUUAAUGGUCUUCUUCCUUUUGAUAUCCGAGUUAGAGAGAUUAGUCCAGCACUACCUGAUUUCCAUGCUCGAUUUUCAUUGAAGAGUAAGGUAUCACUAUAAGAUAUAUAAUGACACCAUUAUGGACCCAUUCCAGAGAUUCUAUGCAUAUCAUAGUACUUAUAGACUGAACACCAUUGUCAUGAGGGAGGCUGCGAGGUAUUUCAUUGGAAAGCAUGACUUCUCUGCUUUCGCUAAUGCAUCGCUCAAUGAUCGAUUGCCAGAUCCUGUGAAGCAAAUUUUCCGUUUUAAUGUUGUUGAAAAGGUAAUUGUUUAACCCGUGCAAUAUUAUUAGUUUAGCAUGGGUCCUUGCUGCACCAUGUUGGGUCUUCAGUGAUCAGGCAAGAGGCACCAGUUGGUUUAUAUACUUAAGCUUGGUUGUUUGAAGUUGAAAUGCUAUCUCUGAUGGGACCAUGUAAUCGAAUUGUGUCGACUAAUAUUAUUCAAUGCAGCCAGUUGUUGAGCUUUGCUCAGUCCUGUUCCUUGAAGAUGAUUGAAUACUGGAUGUUUGAGGUCAUACCCUCAAUAAGAAUGAUGUACCUCAAUAAUAUUAGAUAAUAAUGGUGUGACAAUCUCAUGGUCUCUACAUCUAAUUUUUUUUUUCUUCUUUUGGAUGGAUAGCCUAUAGGUUAUUGAAUCGAUGCUUGAUUUGUUUGUCUAGGGAGCACUUUUGCAACUCGACCUUGAAGGCUCUGGUUUCUUAUAUAGACAAGUGCGGAACAUGGUCGCUUUGCUGCUUCAAAUUGGAAAGCAGGCAGUUCCUCCCGAUAUUGUCCCAAAAAUUUUGGUAACUAAAGAUUUGAAAGAACUUGCAAAGUAUACCUUGUCUGCCCCUCCCCAAGGAUUCUGCCUUAUAUCUGUCAAGUACAAUGAAGAGGUCCAACAGCCUCCCCCUGGUUGCCCUAUGACCAGCUUUGGCAGGAAUCAUUGUGUAAGUAAAUGCAAACUUCCAUUCUAUUGAGAAACUUAAAGGAAGUGGUUGUAACUGUCUAAA